UGUAAAAUUUUUAUCCGUUGACAGUUUUUAUUUGUUUUUGAAAACUGAAAAUUUGUGUCUUCCUGUAUUUGUGUCGCGCCUUUACUUUGUUCCUAUUCGCAGGGAACCCCCAUUUUAUCGCUAUUAUAAAUAUCCACUAACCUUACGACAUCGCCCUUUUUUAGUUUAAAUUGUACGAGUUUUCCAAGAUAUUUGCCCAAGAUAACCCUCAUCAUAUUGCACAUUUGCCCACGAUAUCCCUCAAGGUAUAUUGUACAUUUGCCCAAGAUAUCCCUCAAGGUAUAUUGCACAUUUGCCCAAGAUAUUCCUGAUGGUAUUGAACAUAUUCCCCAAGAUAUCCACCAAGAGAAUGCACAUUUGCCCAAGAUAUCCACCAUGACUCUUCAACGAUGUGGCAAGGUUGGGGUAAUUUCACAUUUGGUAUUGAAAAAAGGUUUGGGGUCCGAUCCUGAGGGGUCUAGUGCGUGGAUUUCACGCUUGAUGCCUUAUCCUAAGCUAGUCGAGUUUAUCUCACUCGCUCAUGUUGGUCUUAAACUAAAACCUAAGAGACCUAAUGCACUUGUAAAUAUUUCAAUGUGCAAAUCCUAGCAAGAUACCCCCACAUACAAGCCACCAUUCUAACAGUCAACAGAAAUUUUUGGCAUGCAGUUUAACGACACUAUAUAUACUUGUGUAAAACUAAUGCACAUAGUGCGCACCAAAAAUUGAGCGUAAGCGUAGCGUAAACGGGGCUUUAUACCCCAAAACUGUGAAUGGCACUUUAUACUUGCCUUUCAUUGCAACUAAAACGCACAUAGGCAAUGAAUCUUAGGUUUUAAUAAAUUUGAAAUAUCAAUUAACUGUGCGGUCUAUAUUUCGAAAGCCUAAGCAAUAUGCAGGGUAAAUGACCCCUCCCCUUCUCCGGCAUCCCUGAAUAUAAUCAACUGUAGUUUUUAAUGUUAACGGCCAUUUUUCACGCUGCCUUUAUAGAAACAGAUCUGAAAUAACAUCACAACUUUAUUAGAUAUCCCAAGAUACCUGCAACACUUCCAGCCAUUCAAUGUGGACAAACAGUACACCCAAAAAGUGGCGCCUUUCUUUUUACAUGUACUGCUUGUUCAUGCUGAAUGACUCGAAGUCUCACAGAGACCUUGGAAAAAUAAUAAAGUUGAAAUACCACUGCCUAUGCAUGCUAUGCGUACCUAUUUUUUUUAUACAAAGAACUUAUUCCCAGAGCCAAAGACAUAUAGUUGGGCUCUAUAUGAGUAUAUAUUCCAAAAAUUCUUCCUGGUAAAAUGGUAGCAUGUAAAAUGGAGUCUAUAAAUGAUCGGAAGGCAUGCAGUUAAGUGGGGAAUCUCAACUCCUUCCAGCUUUUAGUCAUGAGUCAUGAUAUUUAUGAACAAAAAAUGAAAAUACGGGAAAUAAAAACAAAAAUGUGCAGGUUAAAAAUGCUUGACUGCCUGUCGCAGUGGGGAGUGUAGGUUUGCCAGCGACACACAUUGCCAUCCAUUCAUUACAAUGCCUCCUCGCAACGAUCAGGGCGACCAGAAAGAACGCGUUGUGUUCCACGUGGACGACAUUCAAAUUCAACAUUUCUUGUUU
rnacentral:lncRNA from 1 species